CAUUCGCUUCGGGAAAGAAGCAGAACAGAUCUCUCUCCCUCUCGCUUUACCAUCUACCCUUCUUUUCAUCUCGUCGACGACUAACCAAGUAUGUGAAGAAUCUCUCGUCAUCGGUUGUCGCUUCUGUCCGGUAAACACCUCUCCAUCUUCAUCUCUUUUCUAUUUAUGUGACUCGAGUGAUUCUAGGACUAAGGUCAUGAAGUUACAGACUUACAGUUACAAUAGGGAGCUUUGGAUAAUUGAUUUCUGUUGCUUUGAUUCAAUUAUAGGGUUGAGGCUUCUGGGUAAGUGGGUAUUAAGGCUUUGGAGUCGAUUAAUUUCUGUUUGCUUGAUAGAUUUAUAUGGUUAAUUAGGUUAUUUGGCUAUUAGCUAGUCGCGACCGUGUCUCCAAGCAGCGAAGAGAAGUGGCUUUUUGGGCUAUGGAGCCUCGCCCUCGGGUAGGGGGAUGAUUCCGAGUCGGCCGGAAGAACAAUAGUAGACCUUUGGAGAGAUCUACUUAGGAGUGCCCAACACAUUGAAUGUGAUCACCAAUUUCCCAUUCUUGGUUGUUGGGGUUCUGGGUUUUGUUCUCUGUGUCCAAGGAGGCUUUUUCAAUAUCAGUUUGCCAGGUGAAGUUUGGGGUUGGGCACUGUUCUAUGCAGGAAUAGCAGGGCUGACUUUUGGCUCUGCUUAUUAUCAUUUGAAGCCUGAUGAUAGUAGAGUGACUUGGGAUACCUUGCCGGCUAGCAUUUCAAUCCAUCGUUCUUCGGAGGUGUGGGAGAGAGCAGAAGAAUUUUCACCAGAGAGAUUUGAUAUGGAAGGUCCUAUACCCAAUGAAACGAAUACAGAUUUCAGGUUCAUUCCAUUCAGUGGAGGGCCACGAAAGUGUGUUGGUGAUUAGUUUGCUUUGCUGGAAGCUAUUGUUGCUCUGGCAUGAAAUCUUGGAAUCUUUUGGAGGAAUCCUCGAUGGCUACAGUUUCUCUGAGUCUAUCCCUCACAUUAUAGGAUCUUGUUGAAGCAUCUAUA